UAUAUUUACAUUCCUUGCUGUUGGGUGUAUGGGAAGGGAAGUUAGGAUGAUUUUACUUCCUCUCUUUGUCCUUCUCUUUUGACUUAGAGGAGAUGGCCCUGUUUCUGUUUUCUCUGCUGUAAAUAAAAUUCUCGAUGCUACAUUCCUGCACAGUUGGAUAUCGCUAAACUCUGCUAAUGCAUGCUCUCACCCCAGGGUGGGAGCCAAAGUGUCAUACUGGACAGAGCCUGAAGGGUUGUUCCCAUAGAUAGUGUGAUAGAUCUGGGGUUGUAUGACAGAAAAAGAUGUGGGCAGAAUUUGCAUCAUUAAUGGGAAUGUAAAUGACCAAAAGUGCAUAAAUGAAAUACUUGAGCCCAAACUGAAGUGUUCUACAUUUGAUCUUUUCUCACAUAAUGAAGUGUUUAUAUAUAUUUAUAUAAAUAUUUAGUUAGUAAGAAGCAACCCAGCAAUAAAGCCCAAUUAAUAGAGGCAACAAUUCCAUCUUGGUUUCACAUUAUUACAGCUGCUGAAUGAAAAAACUUGGUUCACUCCAUGGGAAGGCGUUGUAAGGCCAGAAUUAAAGCUAAAGGUUAACAAACUAAGUAUUAAUUGACAUGGCAGAUAGGACGAUCCCACAGGGAGCCUUACCAAGAGAGGCCACGAUCCCACGAUUCUCCUCCAUGACGUCCUUAUGCAGAGCUCUCUGGUCAGGAUCCAGCAACGCCCACUCCUCAUCCGUGAAACGAACAGCGACAUCUUCAAAGCACACUGAAACCUAAAAGAAAAAGGGAAAUGUCCUCCUCUGAGACAGCAGAAAUAUGAUCUGCUACACAAUGCUCUGUUUCCUUCCUCUUAAUUGCUGCGUUGUUUCAAUAGGAUUGCUUUGCUGCACAUUUCUAUUAUGGAUGCCUAUUUUGACGUUUUAAUUGAAUUAUUUUAUUCAGCUUUUAA